rnacentral:lncRNA from 7 species
GGGGCAGGAUCACCUCCACAUGAAAUUCCAAGAUUUCUAAGAAUCGACUGGUCCCAUAUCCCAGUAACUCAAGUCUGCUCAGUUUCAUCUUAUUAAAAAAUUAGGGAAAAAAGAAAAGGCAGCAUGAAAAAGAUCUCCUUUUCUUGGGAAGCGGAGUACUUCCAGUGGAGGGAAGAUCCGUAAAGUAGGAUAGCUAUAACAGCAUCGGUGAGAUGGUUUUGGCAGAAGACAUAGUCUCAGCACCGUGUGCUUUUGAAAGCAGCUGCCCCGAUCUCUUGCUGCUUGUCAAGAUGAAAUGAAGGACUGGAAGCAGAGGAAAGAACAACUGAAAUGAAGAAAUGCUUUCACGUAAUUGCAGUUUGACCUUGUGCCAGUGGAGCUCACUCAUGAACUAGUGGAUUGUCUGAAAUGACUUCUCUGAAUCACUGGAAUCAUAUCUAAAACGGCAGCUUGAUUUUCUUCUUUGUGCUUUGCCUGUUGGCAGCUUUCCUUGGACUCUGCAGCUAAGCCUCAGUGCUGUGUCUGUGCGUGCGUGACAGUCCUGCUGCCAUCACUGAGGUGCCCAGGGUUGGUUGGGAUGGAUUCAGACUUUCUGUUACCAAAGAGCGCAGCAGAAAUAGGAUGAGGCAUGCUCCUGUGGCUGAUGCUACAGUGGGGUUUGUGUGAAGAGUGGCUGGGGCUCUCUGGUUUGUGGAGAAACUAGUUGGGAGCAAGGUGUAGAAAUACCAAUUGGAGGCACAGAAGGUCAUUUUGGUGUUCUUCGCUCAUUCUCCUAAUCCAAAAGCAGGGGAAAAACAGUGAAAAUGGAAGGUAAUAAAUAAAACAGUUGAGGAAGGUGUUAGCUCUGUUUACUGUCUGUCUGUGAGACUUCACUGAGGCUGGGAUCUUAGUGCAGACUAAAAUAACAGAUAACCAUACAGGUGUUGAAAGCCCUGGUUUCAGGGCAGACAAAGGUGGUAUAAAGUGGUAUAUCUUAUUUCAUAGCAAAUGUCAGCGAGGACAGAUGCUUCCCUCUGCACACACUGUCUGACAGGCGCUGGUCAGACCUGAGUCGGCUCUUGAAUCUACGUGUGAUCCCUCAAGACACUUUUAAACCCACAAGGAGCAGGACAAUUGUUUGGGGACUAAUUUUUGUGAGCUGGAUGGAUGAAAGAAGAUUUCUGUGGUGCCAGUUCCCUCUCUUCUGGCUUAGGGGAGAGGAUGUGCAGGGGGAUGUCCCUUCCCUGGGAUGCUCAGGAUGCGCUGGAGAGCAUGGGGCACAACGUCUGAAGCUGGCUUAGAGCAUUGCUGAGCAAAACGUCUUCCUUUGCCAAGUCAGCCUCUGCGUGUGGAGGAAUGGAAGCCACCAAUGGCCCCGAGUUGCAGUUCGGCUGUGGCAGACUCAACUGUGGGACUGAAGCCUUGCUGCAGCCUGUCCCUCCACCAGCCCAUCUCACAGCAGACAGCCCCUGAGGGCAUCUGUAACAGAUGGACGGUGGCUAAGCAGCAGCCUUGUUGGAAUUCAGUUAAAAAUCAGUACCAGUUUGUAGAAAAUCUUUGUAGAAAAUGUAGAAAAUAGGAAACUUUCAACCUUUUCUCAGUCUGUCACAGUUUUUAUUCAUUUGAGCCAGGGAAGAGGAAUUUUAGUUCUGCCUCCUGAUGAAUCUGCCAGUGUGGUUCCCACUAUUUUCUCUCCUUGAUAGAGGCAAUUGGCGUGUUGCUUUCUACCCUAGGAAGCCUCAACUGCCACAAAAGGCCACAGUCUGAUGGGAUGUCAAACUGCAUAGCACUUGUUAAGCUCCCAUGGCUGGCAGCAUCUGUGCAUUUGCAAUGACAACUCUAAAUCCAUCCAGGAUACAAAAGUACUCUAAAAUUGUAGCCUUUGUGUGUGUGUGUGCGCUGCAUGUUUUAUUUAUAAAGCUUUUAGAGAUAGCAGUUUGUUCUCUAAUUUAUUUUGGGUUGGUGAGGAGGAGGAAAUCUCCUUGGCAAGAUAGGGAAUUUGCAAUCUGAAUGUAAAAGGAAUAUGAAAAAAAGAGGAAUAACAAUUAAAAGAAGUCCAGAAUUCUGGGACAUGUUUGCAUGAAUAAUAAUGCUUCCAAAAUGAUAAUGGAUUGUGUGUCAUCCAUUUGUGGAACUGUAGAAGCUGCUAUGAUAAAUAAAACGAUACGUCAAAUU